ACUGGAACAUGAGUUAGAUCUGUAGGAGGAACUCUACACUGGUACAACCUGGGUCAGUGACACCGAGCAACCGGGAAAGCAGAUUGUCUCUAUGAGAGGGGUCACUUGUCACUUGAGAGUUAUUGAACACCUAAGAUGAUUCAGUGACCCUCUGCAUCGCAUUGUAAGUGAUUCCCAGCAAUAAACCCAACUGACCAGGUCUCCACCUCUGAAUCUGAAUUCAAGAGAGAAACGCUGAGCCAACAAGCAAUUGUCCCAUCCUGCAAUACGUUUAGCAUCCAAACCUGGAGCUCCUCCCUUAUUGCGGCACCAGUCUUUUUAAGGUUUGUGAAGAAGCCUGCUUGUGAGCUCCGCUAUCUCGUCCCAUACUGGUUGGAUCACAGGACAAGUCCAAAAGAUAUGGAUCACAUUGCCAAUUUCCCCACAACCUCUCCAGCAGAGUGGUGAAUGAUCUGGAAAGAAAGAAUGUAAUUUGGCCGGUGUAUGGUACCAAUGUAAAAUGGUUUUGUAGAGAUGCUCCUUUUGUCUAGAGCAGAGCACCAUUUUCUUUGCAUUGGAUCAAAUAGCUGUCCAGUCUUCAUCUGAUAAUGGUUGAGGUAGAAUAGCAUCUCACUUAGCCAUGUAUGGGUGCUUUAGUAGUGUGUCUGACUGCGGCUCGUUGAGUAUUUUGUAGAUCUUUGAUAUGGGACCUUUUUGUGGAAUCCCUAGUUUUGCUAGGCUCUCAAAUGGAGUAGGUGGCGUAUUUUUGAUCUCAUCACAAUAAGGUUUAAGAAAGUGUCUUAGUUGCAAAAUAUUCGAAGAAUCAGCAGGUUCCUUGCGGUAUUUUCUCUGUAAGGUCAUUGAAAGAAAACAAAUCUUUGGUAAGCGGGUUAAUCAGAUCGCUUAUUGUCUGCAACCCCAUCUGUUGUUAAAGUUCUGGGUUGAAAACUUGGGUUGUUUAGAAACAUCAGAUUUGUAGACUUCCUCAAGGAUAAUUUGGUUCUGUGUCUUUUCCACAGAGUUAACAUACUCCAUGUAGAAAAGAGUAACAUGGAAAGAUCCAUUGUGUGGGCUGGUUGAGACCAGAUGAGAUGGUUCACAUGUCCUUGUGGUGAAAAAAUAUUCUCAAUAAAACUCCAGUUGUUGUUUGAGGUCCAUCUUGACUAUGCCAGAAUUUGUUUAAGUUGAGCAGCUUCAUAGUAUUUUUGGAAGGCGGGAAUUUCAAGAAUUCCAUAGUCAAUGGAGGUUGUUAUCACUUUCCCCAAAAAUCUGUGUCUGCUAUUGCUCCAUAUGAAUUUAUGACAGCAUGAAGAAUUUCUCUUAAUACAUACAGUAUAAAGGAACAGAGAUAGGUGACGUUUGAAAUAAAUACUCAUUUUUACUGCCGAUAUUUUGCCAAACCAGGAGAUUGGAUAUGUAGACCAUUUUCCUAACAGUAGUUUCAUUUGCUGAAUUAGAGGGGUGAAGUUUUGCUUAAAAAGAUCAGAGUAUUGUGGCGUAAUUUGGGUCCCUAUGAAGGAUAUUGAGGCUGUUUUCCACUUAUACUGAAAAGAUGAUUGAAGGUCCAGCAGGGAAUUCCGUGGGAUGUUAAGUGGAAGUGCCUCGGUUUUAUUAACAUUAGCUUUAUAGUUAGAGAAUUUGCUGUAGGUGUCCAAAAUCUUAUGUAAAUUUGGUAAGGAGAUUUGUGGAUUUGUCAGCGUAAGCAACACAUUAGUGAGGUUGGGCAAUAAUGUUGGGCAGGAGGCCUGACUCACAGUUAGGGGGUUAUUUAUCAAAUUCCGGAAGAAAGAUCUCAUUAUUUUCUGAAAUAUACUCCGACCAA